rnacentral:rRNA from 1 species
AGGACAGUGGCGGACGGGUGAGUAACGCGUGGGUAACCUGCCCUUUUCAUGGGGACAACAGCUGGAAACGGCUGCUAAUACCGAGUAAGCUGGUGGAAUCGCAUGAUUCUAUCAGGAAAGAUGGCCUCUGCAUAUGCUAUCGGGAAAGGAUGGACCCGCGUCUGAUUAGAUAGUUGGUGAGGUAACGGCUCACCAAGUCGACGAUCAGUAGCCGGCCUGAGAGGGUGGCCGGCCACAUUGGGACUGAGACACGGCCCAGACUCC